ensembl:snRNA U6 U6 spliceosomal RNA
AUGUUCAUUUCAGCAGCACAUAUAAUACAAUUGGAACAAUGCAGGGAUUAGCAUGACCCCUACACAGGAAUGGCAUGCAAAUGCACAAAACAUUCUAUGUUUUU